UUGAACGCUGGCGGCAUGCCUUACACAUGCAAGUCGAACGGUAGAGGGGCAACCCUUGAGAGUGGCGAACGGGCGAGUAAUAUAUCGGAACGUGCCCAGUCGUGGGGGAUAACGCAGCGAAAGCUGCGCUAAUACCGCAUACGAUCUAUGGAUGAAAGCGGGGGAUCGCAAGACCUCGCGCGAUUGGAGCGGCCGAUAUCAGAUUAGGUAGUUGGUGGGGUAAAAGCCCACCAAGCCGACGAUCUGUAGCUG
rnacentral:rRNA from 1 species